AACACUUAUAUUCUUAACCAACUGUGAAACUGUAUUUGUGUAUUGUCAAAAGAAAAAUUACUCUGACAUUGGUUAAAGAGAGAAGGCGGGCUUUACUGGAGGUGGAGCUGCGGCACUGGGGUUUGCAGGAGAAGAGAGAGAUUGUACUCAACCCUAAAUAAAACAGGAAGAAAAGAAUAACUGCCAAAGAGAGGUUGCUGGGUAGCAAAUGGAAAAUUACUAAGAGGAAAUAUGAGAGGUAAGGAGGAAUCUUGCUAAACUAACUAAACAAGAUUCUUGCUAGGGGCAGAUCCAGGUGGUGAGAUACGGAGGGGUGGGGAUGAGGAAUUUAAUCAGAUAUCCAGCUAGGGGAGUUUUGCUCAACCGACCCAGCUGGAUUCUUGCUAAAACCGGACUAAGCUGACCACGAAUGGAUUCCAAGUUUGGCAAUUACUCCAGGAAUAGCUCAGAGAAGUGUGGCACAAAUUUGAUUGAGGAAAGGACCUUCAUCAGUGUCUGUACUUUUAUUUAUGUUUAAUUUUAUUUUCUUAAGACCUCCAACAAAAAUAACAAAACAUAGUCAAAAUUAAAAGUUUAAGAAGACAGAAACAAGAUGUUCUUCCUAUGUGAAGAUUGAUUUGGGGGGAAAUUACUGAAGUAACUAUUUUCUUAAAGAUGGUUUUCUUCCUUCCUUCCUACUUUCCUUUCUUGUUUUAUUUAUACUGAUCUUCCCUCAUUGUCAGUACCGUCCGUGCACCAGAGUAAAUGGAAGACACUGGCCACUUAUGAAAAUGUACGAGAUAUGGGCGCAAACACCUCACUCUCCCCAGACGUUGUGCCAUCCACAGAAGCCAUCCUGGAGCUGUGGAGUCCCUCACACACAGCACUGGUGAGGGAGUUUCUCUCCUCCAUCUCCUUGGAUGGUCCUCUAAGACCAUCGUGUGCCCCACUGCCAAGAUCCUAAUUCAAAAGGGUCAGGGUGGUGUAAGAAGCCAGGUCAUCGACGAAACACAAACAACAAAGCAAAAAUCUCACCGAGGUGGAUCUGAUGAUCAGCAAGAUUCAGAAAUUACUCCCUGAACAAAAUUACUGACACUCGGGUAUCUUGAUCCGUCACUACAGGACAUUUUACCUUGUUAUUCUUUAAAAUGUGAAAGAAAAAUAUUACUUUUUAAUAUAAAAAGUUGACUAAAUACAGUGA
rnacentral:lncRNA from 1 species